AUGGCCACGAGCUUCUCGGCCACUUUCAUGUUCACCAUCACACCCGGCCACUGGGGCUAUUCCGGCGACGGGAUGGCGUUCGUCAUCUCCUUGGCCCCGUUGUCUUUUACCGAGGCAGGGAAAUACUUGGGCCUUAGCAGCUAUGCCAGUCAGUACGUCGACACCCAUGCAAGUGCAAAUUGUUUCUUCGCCAUAGAGCUGGACAACGUAGACAACAAGGAGUUCCGAGACAUAGACAACAACCAUGUCGGGAUUGAUCUCAACAACCUAACGUCCGCCGCCUCUUCAACCGCGGGCUACUACACUGCCAACGGCAUGGACUUUAAUCCGUUGAUACUUUAUAGUGGAAAACCAAUGCAGGUGUGGGUGGACUACUACUCUUCGGGGCUGCUCGAGGUCCGGCUUGCUCCAGUUCCCAUGGAUGAGCCCAACUCACCGCUUCUCACUUACUACUCCCUCGACCUCGCGAAGGUUCUGAAGAAUGGCACCAAGUCAAAGGCAGGGGUUCCCACCAUGGCACACGUCGGCUUCUCCGCCGCUUCCGGAGUUCCGAGUGGCACUCAUCAAUGUAGAAUUGUAUUGAAUAAUUGUUGA
rnacentral:rRNA from 1 species